UAACCUUUACAGAGAUGUAAAGCUGAAAUCUGAGAAGUCAGCAGAUGUCAUAUUAGUAGAAGUGUCAUGAGACUUCUAUGAAGGAC
rfam:Clostridium pasteurianum BC1 plasmid pCLOPA01, complete sequence.